rnacentral:tRNA from 1 species
GGAGGCGUCGCCUAGCCUGGCCGAUGGCGCCGGUUUGGAGUACCGGUUUGCGGGCAACCGCAUCGAGGGUUCAAAUCCCUCCGCCUCCG